rnacentral:rRNA from 1 species
AUACGGAGGGUGCAAGCGUUAUCCGGAAUCACUGGGUUUAAAGGGUCCGUAGGCGGACUAUUAAGUCAGAGGUGAAAUCCCACAGCUCAACUGUGGAACUGCCUUUGAUACUGGUAGUCUUGAGUUAUAUGGAAGUAGAUAAAUGUGUAGUGAAGCGGUGAAAUGCAUAGAUAUUACACAGAAUACCGAUUGCGAAGGCAGUCUACUACGUAUAUACUGACGCAAAGGGACGAAAGCGUGGGGAGCGAACAGGAUUAGAAACCCUAGUAGUCC